CAGUCGCCACGGGAAUACGUAGGGUGCAAGCGUUAAUCGGAAUUACUGGGCGUAAAGCGUGCGCAGGCGGUUAUAUAAGUCAGAUGUGAAAUCCCCGGGCUCAACCUGGGAACUGCAUUUGAGACUGUAUGGCUAGAGUGUGUCAGAGGGGGGUAGAAUUCCACGUGUAGCAGUGAAAUGCGUAGAUAUGUGGAGGAAUACCGGUGGCGAAGGCGGCCCCCUGGACAAAGACUGACGCUCAGGUGCGAAAGCGUGGGGAGCAAACAGGAUUAGAUACCCCAGUAGUCCCUGUCUCUUAUAC
rnacentral:rRNA from 1 species